ACUUGAUCUACUUCUUGGAUUUCUUUGAUGGUCUGCACAGAAAACAUGCAUUUAGACAACAUAGCAAAAAUUUCAACCAAAAACAAAAGUGUGUGCUUAGAUACUUACUGGGCAGGCUGGGUUGCUGUUGCAGCUGGUGCCACUGGUGCUGUAGGUGCCUUUUCUCCAGGACCCUACACAUUUUAGAGGGGAAGUGACAAUAGUUAAAUUCCUCAAUAAAAGUUGAGUGACAAUGCUGUAAUCAGCUUAGGAACUCACUUGAGCAAAGCGCUCUUCUCUUCGGGCAUGUUUCCUUUCCCUGCUAGCCUUGUUCUUAGCCCUCUUGGCCUCAAACUGAUCAGACAAUGUCUUCUCUCUUGCCUU